rnacentral:rRNA from 1 species
GAUGAACGCUGGCGGCGUGCUUAACACAUGCAAGUCGAACGGAGAAGCCCCAGCUUGCUGGGGUGGAUGAGUGGCGAACGGGUGAGUAACACGUGAGUAACCUGCCCCUGACUCUGGGAUAACAGCCGGGAACGGCUGCUAAUACCGGAUAUGAGCUAUGAACGCAUGUUGGGGGGUGGGAAAGUUUUUUCGGUUGGGGAUGGGCUCGCGGUUUAUCAGCUUGUUGGUGGGGUAAUGGCUAACCAAGGCGUCGACGGGUAGCCGGCCUGAGAGGGUGACCGGCCACACUGGGACUGAGACACGGCCCAGACUCCUACGGGAGGCAGCAGUGGGGAAUAUUGCACAAUGGGCGAAAGCCUGAUGCAGCAACGCCGCGUGCGGGAUGACGGCCUUCGGGUUGUAAACCGCUUUUAGCAGGGAAGAAGCGAGAGUGACGGUACCUGCAGAAGAAGCACCGGCUAACUACGUG